UACGUGGGUGGCAAGCGUUGUCCGGAAUUAUUGGGCGUAAAGCGCGCGCAGGCGGCCUCUUAAGUCUGAUGUGAAAGCCCACGGCUCAACCGUGGAGGGUCAUUGGAGACUGGAGGACUUGAGUGCAGAAGAGGGAAGUGGAAUUCCAUGUGUAGCGGUGAAAUGCGUAGAGAUGUGGAGGAACACCAGUGGCGAAGGCGAUUUUCUGGUCUGUAACCGACGCUGAGGCGCGAAAGCGUGGGGAGCAAACAGG
rnacentral:misc_RNA from 1 species